rnacentral:misc_RNA from 1 species
GAAGAAUCCUCAACGUGACCUGCCAAUGGGAAUUGGUUUUGCAUUAUCAAUAUGCUGCUCUCUCUACAUGUUAGUCUCUGCAGUUAUUGUUGGUUUGGUACCCUAUUAUGCUAUGGAUCCAGAUACACCAAUCUCUUCUGCAUUUGCAAGCCAUGGAAUUAAUUGGGCAGCAUAUAUAAUAACUAUUGGAGCUUGUACUUCUCUUUGCUCAACAUUGAUGGGUUCUAUAAUGCCUCAGCCACGGAUACUUAUGGCAAUGGCUCGGGAUGGAUUGCUGCCUUCAUUUUUCUCAGAUGUUAACAAGCGGACUCAAGUUCCUAUUAAGGGCACUAUAGCAACUGGUUUACUUUCUGGAACCUUAGCAUUUUUCAUGAAUGUUGAACAGUUGUCAGGAAUGGUCAGUGUUGGUACACUUCUUGCGUUUACAAUGGUGGCUAUUUCGGUAUUGAUUCUCCGAUACGUACCACCAGACGAGGUCCCAGUUCCCUCCUCUUAUCAGGAGGCAAUUGACUCAGUACGCCUGCGACGUAGUAGCUGUAGUAGUAGUUCAGAUAUGGAUGUCGAGAAAACCAAAAUUCCAGCUGUGACCUCUGGUGAUAGCACUCCAUUGUUAGGCGAGAUUUCAGUUGGGCAUCCUCUUGCGGAAAAAGCAGCAGCAAAGUUGAGCUAUCUAGUAAGCCAAAGGCGGAAAGUUGCUGGCUGCACAAUUUUGUUCAUCUGUAUUGGAGUAUGCAUCGUUACAUCCGCUGCUUCAAUUGUUAACUUGUCUAAUCCUGCAAGGUACGCACUGUCCGGAAUUGGUGGUUUGCUUCUGAUAUCUGGUUUGAUAAUACUCACUUGCAUAGACCAGGAUGAUGCGAGGCACAGCUUUGGACACACCGGAGGUUUCACUUGUCCAUUUGUACCACUUCUGCCGAUUGCCUGCAUUCUCAUCAACGUCUACUUAUUAAUUAAUCUCGGUGGUGAAACUUGGGCCCGAGUAUCCAUAUGGCUAGUAAUAGGAACGUGCAUAUAUGCUUUGUACGGUCGAACCCACAGUUCACUAAAGACUGCAGUUUACGUUCCUUCAACUCACGUGGAUGAAAUCUACGAAACAUCAGCCAUCUCCCUUGCAUGUUAACACAUUCAUCUGUCAAAUCAAGUGAAAGAACCUUGUUUUCAGUUACUCACGGUUUACUGAAGAAGCAGCUGUAUAUUUCGUCGUUCUGCUGAUAAAAAACUGCUACAUGUUUCAGAAUAUUGAAACACAUAUCUCUUUUCCUUUAGUUCACGUCAUUUAAUUUUAUUUGUUUCCCCAUUGUAGUUCUACUACUGAAAGAGGAAAAAAAGAUGUUAUUGCAAAACACAUUUAGUAUUGUUUGUAAUCAGCAGAGGGUAGUUGAUUUUUUGAGCUUCUUUGUAUGUGUACAUAUAUUUGUGAUAGGAAUUUGUGGUUCUGGCAAUGGUGUACUUGUUGUAUGUGUAAAUAUAUGAAUUAUGAAGCUAAAGAUUUCUU